ensembl:miRNA
CAGCAGACUGGAUUUAAAGGGAAUUUGCGACUGUUUAGUCACAUUAUUAAAACAGCCACACCUUCCUUUUAAGAUCUUGCCUGCUG